rnacentral:rRNA from 1 species
GUUUCCUACGGGAGGCAGCAGUGAGGAAUAUUGGUCAAUGGGCGGAAGCCUGAACCAGCCAAGUCGCGUGAGGGAAUAAGGCCCUACGGGUCGUAAACCUCUUUUGCCGGGGAGCAAGGGCCGGGUCGCGUCCCGGCCCGGAGAGUACCCGGAGAAAAAGCAUCGGCUAACUCCGUGCCAGCAGCCGCGGUAAUACGGAGGAUGCGAGCGUUAUCCGGAUUUAUUGGGUUUAAAGGGUGCGUAGGCGGGCUUUUAAGU